UCGAAAUCAGGGAAGAGCUAGAUUAUCAAGGCCUUGCAGCCAUCAAAACCUAUGUAAUACAUGACUAUCGACCCUUCAACAACCUCAACCUAAAAGGCAACUAAGGCCUUGAAGUCCGCCUAGCCCGAUUGCCUGAAUCUUGAGCAGCUACUUCUACGACAGUCAUCCUCUCCUUGGUAGAUCAUAUCUGCUCCUAGAACUCGGCUAUCUGCUGGUGACACAGCAUAGCUAUGGCCUUCUCCAUUGUUGUCUAGCCUUCUUUGACUUAGGCCCUC
rnacentral:lncRNA from 1 species